GGUGACGUGUACGGUGGUAAUGGAAGGCACCGGCCGAUAGGUCCGGACCCAAAGUAUACCACUGAUUUCGUUGUGAGUGUCAAGUGUAUGAACCGGUAUAAAUAUUAUAAUAUUAUAUCAUUUACAAUAGAAUUGUGAAAUAUUUAAAAAACACACUAAAGUUGGAGUUUGAAAUUUAUAAGUGAUUAUAUCUUACUUUUUUCACAAUAAUAAAAUUUUUUUUCGUAUCUUACUCGUGAACGUACAGUUAAACCACGCCUUUGACUUUUGCUCG
rnacentral:misc_RNA from 1 species